rnacentral:pre_miRNA from 10 species
UGGUGGCAGCUUGGCGGUCGUAUGUGUGGCGUCAUCUACUUGAGCCUUUAGGAGUGACAUCACAUAUACGGCGGCUAAACUGCUACAUAGGA